GUCAGGAUGGCCGAGUGGUCUAAGGCGCCAGACUCAAGCGCUUAGCUUCCCCGCGCUGGGGAUUCUGGUCUCCGUAUGGAGGCGUGGGUUCGAAUCCCACUUCUGACA
rfam:Sus scrofa breed Duroc isolate TJ Tabasco Contig1052_1, whole genome shotgun sequence.